AGUGAACGCUGGCGGUAGGCCUAACACAUGCAAGUCGAACGGCAGCACAGUAAGAGCUUGCUCUUACGGGUGGCGAGUGGCGGACGGGUGAGGAAUACAUCGGAAUCUACUUUUUCGUGGGGGAUAACGUAGGGAAACUUACGCUAAUACCGCAUACGACCUACGGGUGAAAGCAGGGGAUCUUCGCACCUUGCGCGAUUGAAUGAGCCGAUGUCGGAGUAGCUAGUUGGCGGGGUAAAGGCCCACCAAGGCGACGAUCCGUAGCUGGUCUGAGAGGAUGGUCAGCCACACUGGAACUGAGACACGCACCAGACUCCUACGGGAGGCAGCAGUGGGGAAUAUUGGACAAUGGGCGCAAGCCUGAUCCAGCCAUACCGCGUGGGUGAAGAAGGCCUUCGGGUUGUAAAGCCCUUUUGUUGGGAAAGAAAAGCAGCAGGUUAAUACCCCGCUGUUCUGACGGUACCCAAAGAAUAAGCACCGGCUAACUUCGUG
rnacentral:rRNA from 1 species